AAAAAAUAAAGAAGGUAGCAGUAUGAAACUGUAUCCAUCCAUUCCUGCAUUCCACUCCUUUGCUUGCUUCUCCACAUCUUCCAGCUAGAAAGCUAGGAGUCAUAGCUAAACACCAAACAAGUCCAGAGACCCAAGUGCUACAUGAAGCAAUGUUUUCCUAACAGUUAUGGCUUUGUGCUUGCUUCCUGUAUUGGCGGUAGGAUUGCAAUGAAAGUACUCCCGUGGAUAUCUCCAGCUUAGCUUGAGCUGUAUAGAUUUAAUAGUGGAAAAUGAAAAAGAAAAAUGUGUCUUUCCUCACAGUGUUAAGUCUAACCAAAUCUUCACUAAGAUAUGCCAAGAGAGCAAAGAGAGAUUGGGAGCUUCUCCUUAUGAAACGAGCCUGCAGAUCAUGUUCACUUACCUGGCCGUCUGUUUACACCAAAUACAAAAAUAUCAGUAAAACAUUUCUGACUUCACUUUUACAGCUUCUGUUAUCAACUUUGUCAAUGACAACUACAGACAAUUAUUAUCUGACAGAAAAUAUGGCAGCACUUUGUAUUAAUAAAAGAUUCAAAGAGUUUUA